UGUGAGUUUUGUCACUUUAAAAUUUAUGCAACUGAAAAGGCCUAAAGAAAUUAUUGGCUGUAGAUAACUAUAUUUGGUGAUUUGGGAUGGUGAAGAGAAGGCUUAAUAGUUCACAUUCUGUUUGUAAUAUGUUUGUAGUAUUUACUGUACGUUGAACCCACACAAAGGUAGAAGAGCUGACAUAGCUGGAAGCCGCUUGGAUCCCACCACUGAAAUUAAGGCUUUUUGCUGGGAACAGGGUGUGUGCGGGCUGAAAAGCACUGAGGAGGAACUGAGGCCAUGGCUGAUCCAGGAGGGUGCCCAGAGCAGCUCUGCAGGCGAGGUUAGUGCCUUCGCUUCUCUGUCAUCACCAGUCCCUGAGAGCAAUCACCACCCACCAACAGUUCCUCAAGAUAAGACUGAGCCAGCUGGGAGAAGAAAGCCUUUGAUAUUUCGCUGCCUCGCUGAGUAAGUAUGCCAUAACAAUAAUACUUUGAACUUUUACAGCACCUUUUCAUACCAGGGUCUGAGUGCUCUACAAAUAUUCAUCCACUAAGCCUCAUACCACCUAUUGGAGGAAGAAACUUUUUAUUGAACUCCUUUUAUAGGCCAAAUCUUCCAAAGAGUUCAGCAUCCAUUUUGUCUACAUUAGAAAACUUUCUUGGUUUGCAUGAAGUACCUGUUAGUUUCUAGGUUUCCACUUUAGCCACCCAUGCCCAGCAUUGGUAAGGUCUGUACAACCUCUGCCCCAAACGGUUUAAGUCCUGGGCUUCUGCUGGUGUGCCCCCAUAAAGCUGAAGAUCUUGUAAACUGCUUAUCUCCUGCUUACAGCUCGCGGGAACCUUCGUGAGCUCCUGAUGAG
rnacentral:lncRNA from 1 species